ACCUUGAUUGCUCAGUUGAUAGAGCGCAGGACUAUAAGAGAUUCCUCAUAUGAAAUGCUCUGAUCAUAAGGUAGCCGGUUCAACUCCAGCUCAAAGCC